rnacentral:rRNA from 1 species
GACCUACCUUCAAUGACGGCUGCAUCAUUAGGUUAUCUCAAUUCAACAUCGAGGUGGUAAACUUUUUCUUCGAUUAGGGCUCUCAGAAAAAAUUACCCUGUUAUCCCUAAAGUAGCUUUUAUUUAAAGAUCAUUAUUUCUUUUUUAGGAAAAUAACGGGUCAUUAUAUCAUACUUUGUAACUAUUAAAUUAAUUAAUUAAAUAGUAAAUUACGUUAUUAAUGUAGAGUGUCUCUGUUCUUUUUUAGAGACCAUCGCCCCAAUGAAACUACCUUUCUUUUAUUUGUUUGUUUGUUUUUGUUUAAAAAGAUGUAAAAGAAUAUAGUUAAGCUUUAUAGGGUCUUUUCGUCUUACAAUUUUAUGUAGCAUCUUAACUACAAUUUAAAUUUUCUUUUUGUUUUAUAAGACAGAGGAAUUUUCGUUUAACCAUUCAUACUAUCCACUAAUUAAGUGGCGAAUUAUUAUGCUACAUUCAUACAGUCAUAGUUACUGCAGCCAUUUAGUUUUUUGUUUUUUCUUCAUAAAAAUAUUAAUAAACCAUUGGGCAGGUUUCACCUUUAAUUUUUUUUGAGGGCUAUGUUUUUG